GUAGGUGGCAAGCGUUGUCCGGAAUUAUUGGGCGUAAAGCGCGCGCAGGUGGUUCUUUAAGUCUGAUGUGAAAGCCCCCGGCUCAACCGGGGAGGGUCAUUGGAAACUGGGGAGCUUGAGUGCGGGAGAGGAAAGUGGAAUUCCACGUGUAGCGGUGAAAUGCGUAGAUAUGUGGAGGAACACCAGUGGCGAAGGCGACUUUCUGGCCUGUAACUGACACUGAGGCGCGAAAGCGUGGGGAGCAAACAGGGAUUAGAUACCCUGGUAGUCCACGCCGUAAACGAUGAGUGCUAAGUGUUGGGGGGGUUUCCCGCCCCGUCAGUGCUGCAGCUAACGCAUUAAGCACUCCGCCUGGGGAGUACGGUCGCAAGACUG
rnacentral:rRNA from 1 species